AAAAACUCAAAUCUUGAAAUCUUAUUGAUAAGCUUGUAAGCCUUGUAUACUUUGUCGGUGCUUGAAGUCGAAGUUUCACUCAUCCGAAUCCCUUACCCUUCGUCAACUAGCCUUGAGAACAGCUCCUAAAGCAUCUUUCCCUUUAUGAGGCUGAUUCAAUAGCUAACACAGCCCCUAAGAGCUGAUUCAAUAGCUAUAGUUGCGGAUUCUAUAACAAAUGAUAUUUCCUAUUGAUUGAUCCUUGCUUAUCUCGUAUAUUGACUAGAGGCAUAUUCGAUUGCAGAUCUGGAGUGUUUGAUGGUGGAAUAUCUGCAAGCUUCGAUAGUUGUGACAAGCAGCAAGAGAUUUGUUACGGAAUAUGUUCGAUUUCGAAGGAUACAUGGUGGAGUGGCUCUGCCAGCAGCUGCUGGCGUCGGGAUCUUUGAGAAGAUCGAUCGUCGAUUGCUUCAAGUUUUUCUCGAUCGCGGAGAGGCAGAAAUCUGUGGGAAGAGAGAGAGAGAUCGGUUUUAGGAGAUAAGGGAACUAGGGAGGGAAUUGUGUGAGAUAAAGUUAGACAAGAGUGACAAAAUUUUAAUGUUAAGGGUAAGUUUGUAUUUUAUAUAAAAAAUGGCUCAUUUUUAAGUUUUAAUGUGAGUGGAUAAUUUUUAUUUUGACAAUAACAAAUUGGCCAUUUUGAUAUAUUGACUCAACUAUAAAUUAU
rnacentral:lncRNA from 1 species